UACGUAGGGUGCGAGCGUUGUCCGGAAUUAUUGGGCGUAAAGAGCUUGUAGGCGGUUUGUCGCGUCUGCUGUGAAAAUCCGGGGCUCAACCCCGGACUUGCAGUGGGUACGGGCGGACUGGAGUGUGGUAGGGGAGACUGGAAUUCCUGGUGUAGCGGUGGAAUGCGCAGAUAUCAGGAGGAACACCGAUGGCGAAGGCAGGUCUCUGGGCCACUACUGACGCUGAGAAGCGAAAGCAUGGGGAGCGAACAGG
rnacentral:rRNA from 1 species